GCACGGAGUUAGCCGAUGCUGAUUCCUCUGGUACCGUCAGGUUGCUUUCACAACUUUCUUCCCAGAGAAAAGGGGUUUACAACCCAAGAGCCUUCUUCCCCCACGCGGUCUUGCUCCGUCAGGCUUUCGCCCAUUGCGGAAAAUUCCCCA
rnacentral:rRNA from 1 species